rnacentral:rRNA from 1 species
UACGUAGGGUCCGAGCGUUGUCCGGAAUUACUGGGCGUAAAGAGCUCGUAGGCGGUCUGUCGCGUCGGUCGUGAAAACUUGGGGCUUAACCCUGAGCUUGCGGUCGAUACGGGCAUGACUGGAGUUCGGCAGGGGAGACUGGAAUUCCUGGUGUAGCGGUGAAAUGCGCAGAUAUCAGGAGGAACACCGGUGGCGAAGGCGCUGCUCUGGGCCGGUACUGACGCUGAGGCACGAAGGCCAGGGGAGCAAACGGG